ensembl:lncRNA
GUCAAAUGUGGUUCAAUAUGUUUGAUACCGUUCCAUUGAUUCCAUUCCAGACAUUACAUUAAACCCCUGUUUAGCGUCCUUCCUUCAGCCGCCACUGACUUUCAGCUGAGCUAACAUGGCACUCUUCUCCAAUUCCUCAUAGUGCUGUGUUGUUAUCAAGCUCUCAUGGCAUUCAAUGCAUUACGCUUUACUUCAGCCUACAAUCCAAACUCUGAAUUGUUAACACACCCUAUGCGGGGCUUUCCAGGUUGUUUGACCUUUGUGUCAUCAGGGUUAGUUAUCCCGGUUCCUCUGCACAGGUAGUCACAUAUUCCCUUGCUCCAUGUGAAACAUGACCAGCUUGCACUAUAAUACAAUAGUACUGUAACUAGACCAUGGAAGGUUGCCUCAUCAACCUCUUUACAACAUGCAGCGGGGGGAAAGCUCACAUCAGCAGUGCUCUCAUUGACAACUCUCUCCCAUCAGCAUCACCAUAGCAACUACACCAGCAGACAGUCACCAUGUGCAAAUUUAAGCUGCGGCUGUUCUUCACAUCAACACACAGCUUCAAAAUGUAUACCAUAACUGACAAAAUGAUGACCCUAAGGUCCCAGCCCCACACUGACCUCUUGGGGGAAGGACUGACCUUUACCCUUGUAUCUGUGUACAACUGGACAAUUAGAUCUUUUCUUCUUUUUCUUUUAUGAAUUGUUCCAGAAAAUGGUUUUCAACAAAUGAAUAACUCUAAUCUUAUUUUUGGCCUUUUUUUGUAAUGAUAUUGUAGAGUUUAGUGCUGAAAGAAAACCCAUUAAAUUGAAUGAUGAGCGUCACUUCCGGCAUAUGGCAAGUAAUUAAAGUGUAUAUGAACUUCUGGAUGAACAUUUAUUUAUUGACAAUUUAAGUUAGCUACCCUUGUUCAGAUGUGAAGCUUUCAUUUUGAGAUCAUUUUCUGUACAAAUGACACAAGGUGUGUGUGCAUAUGUAUUUUCUUUUAAUUAAGGAUUUCCCUUUGUUUUUAGCUUUUUUAACUCAUCUUGUAACAUCUGAGAAAUGCACUAUAAUAAAG